CGACUCAUCAUACCAGUCCGACUCGAUCCUAUGACACCUUUAACUCCAUGUUACCCGACCAUGAGCUAAAAACCCUACAAUGCACAUCCUUUUCAUCUUUUCGUCAUUUUCAACAGUGGGUAGCCCCAACUAGGCUUCUACCCCAUAUUCUUGUGGAUUGGCCACAUCUUCUGUGGGUGCUUCCAUAUUCUUGUGGAUUGGCCACAUCUCCUAUGGAUACC
rnacentral:lncRNA from 1 species